rnacentral:lncRNA from 1 species
ACUCUCCUUCUCCUCUCUCUCUCUGCUGACAACCCUCCUUCUCCUCUCUCUCUCUGGUGUCACUCUCCUUCUCCUCUAUCUCUCUCUCUCGGCUGUCACUCUCCUUCUCCUCUCUUUCUGCUGUCACUCUCCUUCUCCUCUCUCUCUCUGCUGUCACUCUCCUUCUCCUCUCUCUCUCUUGCUGUCACCCUCCUUCUCCUCUCUCUGCUGUCACUCUCCUUCUCCUCUCUCUCUGCUGUCACUUUAUUUCUCCUCUCUCUCUCUGCUGUCACCCUCCUUCUCCUCUCUCUCUCUGCUGUCACUCUUCUUCUCCUCUCUCUCUCUGCUGUCACUAUCCUUCUCCUCUCUCUCUCUGCUGUCACCCUCCUUCUCCUCUCUCUCUCUCUGCUGUCACUCUUCUUCUCCUCUCUCUCUCUGCUGUCACUCUCCUUCUCCUCUCUCUCUCUUCUGUCACACUCCUUCUCCUCUAUCUCUCUCUCUGCUGUCACUCUCCUUCUCCUCUCUCUCUCUGCUGUCACCCUCCUUCUCCUCUCUCUCUGCUGUCACCCUCCUUCUCCUCUCUAUCUCUGCUGUCACUCUUCUUCUCCUCUCUCUCUCUGCUGUCACUCUCCUUCUCCUCUCUCUCUCUGCUGACACCCUCCUUCUCCUCUCUCUCUCUGCUGUCACUCUCCUUCUCCUCUAUCUCUCUCUCGGCUGUCACUCUCUUUCUCCUCUAUUUCUGCUGUCACUCUCCUUCUCCUCUCUCUCUCUGCUGUCACUCUCCUUCUCCUCUCUCUCUCUGCUGUCACCCUCCUUCUCCUCUCUCUGCUGUCACUCUCCUUCUCCUCUCUCUCUCUCUGCUGUCACUCUCCUUCUCCUCUCUCUCUCUGCUGUCACUCUCCUUCUCCUCUCUCUCUCUGCUGUCACCCUCCUUCUCCUCUCUCUGCUGUCAUGCUCCUUCUCCUCCCCUCUCUCUCUGCUGUCACUCUCCUUCUCCUCUCUCUCUCUGCUGUCACUCUCAUUCUCCUCUGUCUCUCUGCUGUCACUCUCCUUCUCCUCUCUCUCUCUCUGCUGUCACUCUCCUUCUCCUCCUCUCUCUCUCUGCUGUCACUCUCCUUCUCCUCUCUCUCUCUCUCUUCUGUCACCCUCCUUCUCCUCUCUCUUUCUGCUGUCACUCUCCUCCUCUCUCUCUCUGCUGUCACUCUCCUCCUCUCUCUCUCUCUCUGCUGUCACUCUCCUCCUCUCUCUCUCUCUGCUGUCACCCUCCUUCUCCUCUCUCUCUCUCUUCUGUCACUCUCCUUCUCCUCUCUCUCUCUGCUGUCACUCUCCUUCUCCUCUCUCUCUGCUGUCACCCUCCUUCUCCUCUCUCUCUGCUGUCACCCUCCUUCUCCUCUCUCUCUCUCUGCUGUCACUCUCCUUCUCCUCUCUCUCUGCUGUCACCUUCCUUAUCCUCUCUCUGCUGUCACUCUCCUUCUCCUCUCUCUCUCUGCUGUCACUCUCCUUCUCAUCUCUCUCUCUGCUGUCACUCUCCUUCUCCUCUCUCUCUCUGCUGUCACUCUCCUUCUCAUCUCUCUCUCUCCUGUCACUCUCCUUCUCCUCUCUCUCUCUGCUGUCACCCUCCUUCUCCUCUCUCUGCUGUCACUCUCUUUCUCCUCCCCUCUCUCUCUGCUGUCACUCUCCUUCUCCUCUCUCUCUGCUGUCACUCUCCUUCUCCUCUCUCUCUCUGCUGUCACUCUCCUUCUCCUCUCUCUCUCUCUGCUGUCACUCUCCUUCUCCUCUCUCUCUCUCUCUCUCUCUCUCUCUCUCUUCUGUCACCUUCCUUCUCCUCUCUCUCUCUGCUGUCACUCUCCUCCUCUCUCUCUCUCUCUCUGCUGUCACUCUCCUCCUCUCUCUCUCUGCUGUCACCCUCCUCUCCUCUCUCUCUCUCUUCUGUCACUCUCCUUCUCCUCUCUCUCUCUGCUGUCACUCUCCUCUCCUCUCUCUCUGCUGUCACCCUCCUUCUCCUCUCUCUCUGCUGUCACUCUCCUUCUCCUCUCUCUCUGCUGUCACCCUCCUUCUCCUCUCUCUCUCUGCUGUCACUCUCCUUCUCCUCUCUCUCUCUGCUGUCACUCUCCUUCUCCUCUCUCUCUCUGCUGUCACUCUCCUUCUCCUCUAUCUCUCCUGUCACUUUCCUUCUCCUCUCUCUCUCUGCUGUCACCCUCCUUCUCCUCUCUCUCUCUGCUGUCACUCUCCUUCUCCUCUCUACGCUCUGCUGUUACUCUCCUUCUCCUCUCUCUCUGCUGUCACUCUCCUUCUCCUCUCUCUCUGCUGUCACCUUCCUUAUCCUCUCUCUGCUGUCACUCUCCUUCUCCUCUCUCUCUCUGCUGUCACCCUCCUUGUCCUCUCUCUCUCUGCUGUCACCCUCCUUCUCUCUCUCUCUGCUGUCACUCUCCUUCUCCUCUCUCUCUCUGUUGUCACUCUCCUUCUCCUCUCUCUCUCUGCUGUCACCCUCCUUCUCCUCUCUCUCUCUGUUGUCACUCUCCUUCUCCUCUCUCUCUCUGCUGUCACUCUCAUUCUCCUCUCUCUCUGCUGUCACCCUCCUUCUCCUCUCUCUCUCUGCUGUCACUCUCCUUCUCCUCUCUCUCUGCUGUCACCUUCCUUAUCCUCUCUCUGCUGUCACUCUCCUUCUCCUCUCUCUCUCUGCUGUCACUCUCCUUCUCCUCUCUCUCUCUGCUGUCACUCUCCUUCUCCUCUCUCUCCGCUGUCACUCUCCUUCUCCCCUCUCUCUCUGUUGUCACUCUCCUUCUCCUCUCUCUCUCUGCUGUCACUCUCCUUCUCCUCUCUCUCUCUCUCCUGUCACUCUGCUUCUCCUCUCUCUCUCUGCUGUCACCCUCCUUCUCCUCUCUCUCUCUGCUGUCACCCUCCUUCUCUCUCUCUCUGCUGUCACUCUCCUUCUCUUCUCUCUCUGCUGUCACUCUCCUUCUCCUCUCUCUCUCUGCCUGUCACUCUUCCUUCUCCUCUCUCUCUCUGCUGUCACCCUCCUUCUCCUCUCUCUCUGCUGUCACUCUCCUUCUCCUCUCUCUCUCUUCAUCACUCUCCUUCUCCUCCUCUCUCUCUCUGCUGUCACCCUCCUUCUCCUCUCUCUGCUGUCACUCUCUUUCUCCUCCCCUCUCUCUCUGCUGUCACUCUCCUUCUCCUCUCUCUCUCUCUGCUGUCACUCUCCUUCUCCUCUCUCUCUCUGCUGUCACUCUCCUUCUCCUCUCUCUCUCUCUGCUGUCACUCUCCUUCUCCUCCUCUCUCUCUCUGCUGUCACCUCUGCCUUCUCCUCUCUCUCUCUCUCUCUCUCUCUCGUCCUCUCUCCUCUCUCUCUUCCCAUCUCUCUCUCUCUCUCUCUGUCACUUCCUCUCCGUCUCUCUCUCUCUGGCUGUCACUCUCCUCCUCUCUCUCUCUUCUGCUGUCACUCUCUCCUCUCUCUCUCUGCUGUCCCCUCCUCCUCUCUCUCUCUUCUGUCACUCUCCUUCUCUCUCUCUCUCUGCUGUCACUCUCCUUCUCCUCUCUCUCUGCUGUCACCCUCCUUCUCCUCUCUCUCUGCUGUCACUCUCCUUCUCUCUCUCUCUGCUGUCACCCUCCUUCUCCUCUCUCUGCUGUCACUCUCCUUCUCCUCUCUCUCUCUGCUGUCAACUCCCUUCUCCUCUCUCUCUCUGCUGUCACUCUCCUUCUCCUCUCUCUCUCUGCUGUCACUCUCCUUCUCCUCUCUCUCUCCUGUCACUUUCCUUCUCCUCUCUCUCUCUGCUGUCACCCUCCUUCUCCUCUCUCUCUCUGCUGUCACCCUCCUCUCCUCUCUCUCUCUCUUCUGUCACUCUCCUUCUCCUCUCUCUCUCUGCUGUCACUCUCCUUCUCCUUCUCUGCUGUCACCCUCCUUCUCCUCUCUCUCUGCUGUCACUCUCCUUCUCCUCUCUCUCUGCUGUCACCCUCCUUCUCCUCUCUCUCUCUGCUGUCACUCUCCUUCUCCUCUCUCUCUCUGCUGUCACUCUCCUUCUCCUCUCUCUCUCUGCUGUCACUCUCCUUCUCCUCUAUCUCUCCUGUCACUUUCCUUCUCCUCUCUCUCUCUGCUGUCACCCUCCUUCUCCUCUCUCUCUCUGCUGUCACUCUCCUUCUCCUCUCUACGCUCUGCUGUUACUCUCCUUCUCCUCUCUCUCUGCUGUCACUCUCCUUCUCCUCUCCUCUCUGCUGUCACCUUCCUUAUCCUCUCUCUGCUGUCACUCUCCUUCUCCUCUCUCUCUCUGCUGUCACCCUCCUUGUCCUCUCUCUCUCUGCUGUCACCCUCCUUCUCUCUCUCUCUGCUGUCACUCUCCUUCUCCUCUCUCUCUCUGUUGUCACUCUCCUUCUCCUCUCUCUCUCUGCUGUCACCCUCCUUCUCCUCUCUCUCUCUGUUGUCACUCUCCUUCUCCUCUCUCUCUCUGCUGUCACUCUCAUUCUCCUCUCUCUCUGCUGUCACCCUCCUUCUCCUCUCUCUCUCUGCUGUCACUCUCCUUCUCCUCUCUCUCUGCUGUCACCUUCCUUAUCCUCUCUCUGCUGUCACUCUCCUUCUCCUCUCUCUCUCUGCUGUCACUCUCCUUCUCCUCUCUCUCUCUGCUGUCACUCUCCUUCUCCUCUCUCUCCGCUGUCACUCUCCUUCUCCCCUCUCUCUCUGUUGUCACUCUCCUUCUCCUCUCUCUCUCUGCUGUCACUCUCCUUCUCCUCUCUCUCUCUCUCUCUCCUGUCACUCUGCUUCUCCUCUCUCUCUCUGCUGUCACCCUCCUUCUCCUCUCUCUCUCUGCUGUCACCCUCCUUCUCUCUCUCUCUGCUGUCACUCUCCUUCUCUUCUCUCUCUGCUGUCACUCUCCUUCUCCUCUCUCUCUCUGCUGUCACUCUCCUUCUCCUCUCUCUCUCUGCUGUCACCCUCCUUCUCCUCUCUCUCUGCUGUCACUCUCCUUCUCCUCUCUCUCUCUUCCAUCACUCUCCUUCUCCUCCUCUCUCUCUCUGCUGUCACCCUCCUUCUCCUCUCUCUGCUGUCACUCUCUUUCUCCUCCCCUCUCUCUCUGCUGUCACUCUCCUUCUCCUCUCUCUCUCUCUGCUGUCACUCUCCUUCUCCUCUCUCUCUCUGCUGUCACUCUCCUUCUCCUCUCUCUCUCUCUGCUGUCACUCUCCUUCUCCUCCUCUCUCUCUCUGCUGUCACUCUCCUUCUCCUCUCUCUCUCUCUCUCUCUCUCUCUCUCUCUCUCUCUCUCUCUCUCCUGUCACCUUCCUUCUCCUCUCUCUCUCUGCUGUCACUCUCCUCCUCUCUCUCUCUCUCUCUCUGCUGUCACUCUCCUCCUCUCUCUCUCUGCUGUCACCCUCCUCUCCUCUCUCUCUCUCUUCUGUCACUCUCCUUCUCCUCUCUCUCUCUGCUGUCACUCUCCUUCUCCUCUCUCUCUGCUGUCACCCUCCUUCUCCUCUCUCUCUGCUGUCACUCUCCUUCUCCUCUCUCUCUGCUGUCACCCUCCUUCUCCUCUCUCUGCUGUCACUCUCCUUCUCCUCUCUCUCUCUGCUGUCACUCUCCUUCUCCUCUCUCUCUCUGCUGUCACUCUCCUUCUCCUCUCUCUCUCUGCUGUCACUCUCCUUCUCCUCUCUCUCUCCUGUCACUUUCCUUCUCCUCUCUCUCUCUGCUGUCACCCUCCUUCUCCUCUCUCUCUCUGCUGUCACUCUCCUUCUCCUCUCUACGCUCUGCUGUUACUCUCCUUCUCCUCUCUCUCUCCUGUCACUCUCCUUCUCCUCUCUCUGCUGUCACUCUUCUUCUCCUCUCUCUCUCUGCUAUCACUCUCCUUCUCCUCUCUCUCUCUGCUGUCACCCUCCUUCUCGUCUCUCUGCUGUCACUCUCCUUCUCCUCUCUCUCUCUGCUGUCACUCUCCUUCUCCUCUCUCUCUCUCUGCUGUCACUCUCCUUCUCCUCCUCUCUCUCUCUGCUGUCACUCUCCUUCUCCUCUCUCUCUCUCUCUCUCUUCUGUCACCCUCCUUCUCCUCUCUCUUUCUGCUGUCACUCCUCCUCUCUCUCUCUCUGCUGUCACUCUCCUCCUCUCUCUCUCUCUCUGCUGUCACUCUCCUCCUCUCUCUCUCUGCUGUCACCCUCCUCUCCUCUCUCUCUCUCUUCUGUCACUCUCCUUCUCCUCUCUCUCUCUGCUGUCACUCUCCUUCUCCUCUCUCUCUGCUGUCACUCUCCUUCUCCUCUCUCUCUGCUGUCACUCUCCUUCUCCUCUCUCUGCUGUCCACCCUCCUUCUCCUCUCUCUGCUGUCACUCUCCUUCUCCUCUCUCUCUCUGCUGUCACUCUCCUUCUCCUCUCUCUCUCUGCUGUCACUCUCCUUCUCCUCUCUCUCUCCUGUCACUUUCCUUCUCCUCUCCUCUCUCUGCUGUCCACCCUCCUUCUCCUCUCUCUCUCUCUCUCUCUCUCUCUCCUCUUCUGUCACCUUCCUUCUCCUCUCUCUCUCUGCUGUCACUCUCCUCCUCUCUCUCUCUCUCUCUCUGCUGUCACUCUCCUCCUCUCUCUCUCUGCUGUCACCCUCCUCUCCUCUCUCUCUCUCUUCUGUCACUCUCCUUCUCCUCUCUCUCUCUGCUGUCACUCUCCUUCUCCUCUCUCUCUGCUGUCACGCCUCCUUCUCCUCUCUCUCUGCUGUCACUCUCCUUCUCCUCUCUCUCUGCUGUCACCCUCCUUCUCCUCUCUCUGCUGUCACUCUCCUUCUCCUCUCUCUCUCUGCUGUCACUCUCCUUCUCCUCUCUCUCAUCUGCUGUCACUCUCCUUCUCUCUCUCUCUCUGCUGUCACUCUCCUUCUCCUCUCUCUCUCCUGUCACUUUCCUUCUCCUCUCUCUCUCUGCUGUCACCCUCCUUCUCCUCUCUCUCUCUGCUGUCACUCUCCUUCUCCUCUCUACGCUCUGCUGUUACUCUCCUUCUCCUCUCUCUCUCCUGUCACUCUCCUUCUCCUCUCUCUGCUGUCACUCUUCUUCUCCUCUCUCUCUCUGCUAUCACUCUCCUUCUCCUCUCUCUCUCUGCUGUCCACCCUCCUUCUCGUCUCUCUGCUGUCACUCUCCUUCUCCUCUCUCUCUCUGCUGUCACUCUCCUUCUCCUCUCUCUCUCUCUGCUGUCACUCUCCUUCUCCUCCUCUCUCUCUCUGCUGUCACUCUCCUUCUCCUCUCUCUCUCUCUCUCUCUUCUGUCACCCCUCCUUCUCCUCUCUCUUUCUGCUGUCACUCCUCCUCUCUCUCUCUCUGCUGUCACUCUCCUCCUCUCUCUCUCUCUCCUGCUGUCACUCUCCUCCUCCUCUCUCUCUUGCUGUCCACCCUCCUCUCCUCUCUCUCUCUCUCUUCUGUCCACUCUUCCUUCUCCUCUCUCUCUCUGCUGUCACUCUUCCUUCUCCUCUCUCUCUGCUGUCACUCUCCUUCUCCUCUCUCUCUGCUGUCACUCUCCUUCUCCUCUCUCUCUGCUGUCACCCUCCUUCUCCUCUCUCUGCUGUCACUCUCCUUCUCCUCUCUCUCUCUGCUGUCACUCUCCUUCUCCUCUCUCUCUCUGCUGUCACUCUCCUUCUCCUCUCUCUCUCUGCUGUCACUCUCCUUCUCCUCUCUCUCUCCUGUCACUUUCCUUCUCCUCUCUCUCUCUGCUGUCAAACUCCUUCUCCUCUCUCUCUCUGCUGUCACUCUCCUUCUCCUCUCUACGCUCUGCUGUUACUCUCCUUCUCCUCUCUCUCUCCUGUCACUCUCCUUCUCCUCUCUCUGCUGUCACUCUCUUCUCCUCUCUCUCUGCUAUCACUCUCCUUCUCCUCUCUCUCUCUGCUGUCACCCUCCUUCUCGUCUCUCUGCUGUCACCUCUUCUCUCCUCUCUCUCCUGCUGUCACUCUCCUUUCUCCUCUCUCUCUGCUGUCACUCUCCUUCUCCUCUCUCUCUGCUGUCACCCUCCUUCUCCUCUCUCUGCUGUCACUCUCCUUCUCCUCUCUCUCUCUGCUGUCACCCUCCUUCUCCUCUCUCUCUCUGCUGUCACUCUCCUUCUCCUCUCUCUCUCUGCUGUCACUCUCCUUCUCCUCUCUCUCUCUUCUGUCACUCUCCUUCUCCUCUCUCUCUCCUGUCACUUUCCUUCCCCUCUCUCUCUCUGCUGUCACCCUCCUUCUCCUCUCUCUCUCUGCUGUCACUCUCCUUCUCCUCUCUACGCUCUGCUGUUACUCUCCUUCUCCUCUCUCUCUGCUGUCACUCUCCUUCUCCUCUCUCUCUGCUGUCACCUUCCUUAUCCUCUCUCUGCUGUCACUCUCCUUCUCCUCUCUCUCUCUGCUGUCACCCUCCUUGUCCUCUCUCUCUCUGCUGUCACCCUCCUUCUCUCUCUCUCUGCUGUCACUCUCCUUCUCCUCUCUCUCUCUGUUGUCACUCUCCUUCUCCUCUCUCUCUCUGCUGUCACCCUCCUUCUCCUCUCUCUCUCUGUUGUCACUCUCCUUCUCCUCUCUCUCUCUGCUGUCACUCUCCUUCUCCUCUCUCUCUGCUGUCACCCUCCUUCUCCUCUCUCUCUCUGCUGUCACUCUCCUUCUCCUCUCUCUCUGCUGUCACCUUCCUUAUCCUCUCUCUGCUGUCACUCUCCUUCUCCUCUCUCUCUCUGCUGUCACUCUCCUUCUCCUCUCUCUCUCUGCUGUCACUCUCCUUCUCCUCUCUCUCUGCUGUCACUCUCCUUCUCCCCUCUCUCUCUGUUGUCACUCUCCUUCUCCUCUCUCUCUCUGCUGUCACUCUCCUUCUCCUCUCUCUCUCUCCUGUCACUCUCCUUCUCCUCUCUCUCUCUGCUGUCACCCUCCUUCUCCUCUCUCUCUCUGCUGUCACCCUCCUUCUCUCUCUCUCUGCUGUCACUCUCCUUCUCUUCUCUCUCUGCUGUCACUCUCCUUCUCCUCUCUCUCUCUGCUGUCACUCUCCUUCUCCUCUCUCUCUCUGCUGUCACCCUCCUUCUCCUCUCUCUCUGCUGUCACUCUCCUUCUCCUCUCUCUCUCUUCCGUCACUCUCCUUCUCCUCCUCUCUCUCUCUGCUGUCACCCUCCUUCUCCUCUCUCUGCUGUCACUCUCUUUCUCCUCCCCUCUCUCUCUGCUGUCACUCUCCUUCUCCUCUCUCUCUCUCUGCUGUCACUCUCCUUCUCCUCUCUCUCUCUGCUGUCACUCUCCUUCUCCUCUCUCUCUCUCUGCUGUCACUCUCCUUCUCCUCCUCUCUCUCUCUGCUGUCACUCUCCUUCUCCCUCUCUCUCUCUCUCUCUCUCUCUCUUCUGUCACCUUCCUUCUCCUCUCUCUCUCUGCUGUCACUCUCCUCCUCUCUCUCUCUCUCUCUCUGCUGUCACUCUCCUCCUCUCUCUCUCUGCUGUCACCCUCCUCUCCUCUCUCUCUCUUCUGUCACUCUCCUUCUCCUCUCUCUCUCUGCUGUCACUCUCCUUCUCCUCUCUCUCUGCUGUCACCCUCCUUCUCCUCUCUCUCUGCUGUCACUCUCCUUCUCCUCUCUCUCUGCUGUCACCCUCCUUCUCCUCUCUCUGCUGUCACUCUCCUUCUCCUCUCUCUCUCUGCUGUCACUCUCCUUCUCCUCUCUCUCUCUGCUGUCACUCUCCUUCUCCUCUCUCUCUCUGCUGUCACUCUCCUUCUCCUCUCUCUCUCCUGUCACUUUCCUUCUCCUCUCUCUCUCUGCUGUCACCCUCCUUCUCCUCUCUCUCUCUGCUGUCACUCUCCUUCUCCUCUCUACGCUCUGCUGUUACUCUCCUUCUCCUCUCUCUCUCCUGUCACUCUCCUUCUCCUCUCUCUGCUGUCACUCUUCUUCUCCUCUCUCUCUCUGCUGUCACUCUCCUUCUCCUCUCUCUCUCUGCUGUCACUCUCCU